GUGAAACGGGGGAUCUGUUAGAAAUAAAUAUAAUCAGUCAAGCUGGCUGUGCUUUAUGAGAAUACAAAUUAUAGUUGAAUAAUAUUGUGUGUUUAAUGGAAAAGUACUGAGAGCUUAGUCAUGCAAAAUGAGGAAAGGAUACAGCUGUACGUGCAGAAAGCAGCACUGAUGGUGGUGGUCAGAGAGAAACAAGAGUGCAGCAACAAAGUUAAGAUCCGUUUGAUAUCAGUUUGACCAUGAAGUUACUCCUCAAUCUGUGACAGACAACAGCGCAUUGUUCUCUCUGACCGCCAGCAUAGUUACAGUCUGCCUAGCAACUGAUGAAGAGGGAGUGUGCCAGGAGGCUGGGACUAGUCUGUGCACCAACCAGG